UACAGAGGUCCCAAGCGUUGUUCGGAUUCAUUGGGCGUAAAGGGUGCGUAGGUGGCGCCGUAAGUCAGGUGUGAAAUCUCGGGGCUUAACUCCGAAACUGCAUUUGAUACUGCGGUGCUUGAGGACUGGAGAGGAGACUGGAAUUUACGGUGUAGCAGUGAAAUGCGUAGAGAUCCGGAAGAACACCGGUGGCGAAGGCGGCCUGCUGGGCAGUGGCUGACGCUGAGGCGCGACAGCGUGGGGAGCAAACAGG
rnacentral:rRNA from 1 species